AACGAACGCUGGCGGCAGGCCUAACACAUGCAAGUCGAACGCUUCAGCAAUGAAGAGUGGCAGACGGGUGAGUAACGCGUGGGAACCUUCCCAGUGGUACGGAAUAGCCCAGGGAAACUUGGGGUAAUACCGUAUAAGCCCUUCGGGGGAAAGAGUUUAUCGCCAUUGGAUGGGCCCGCGUCGGAUUAGCUUGUUGGUGAGGUAAAAGCUCACCAAGGCGACGAUCCGUAGCUGGUCUGAGAGGAUGAUCAGCCACACUGGGACUGAGACACGGCCCAGACUCCUACGGGAGGCAGCAGUGGGGAAUAUUGGACAAUGGGCGCAAGCCUGAUCCAGCCAUGCCGCGUGAGUGACGAAGGCCUUAGGGUUGUAAGGCUCUUUUGGCGGGGACGAUAAUGACGGUACCCGCAGAAUAAGCUCCGGCUAACUUCGUG
rnacentral:rRNA from 1 species